rnacentral:rRNA from 1 species
GUCUACAGUCAUACUACCCUGAAUGCGCCCGAUCUCAUCUGAUCUCGGAAGCUAAGCAGGGUUGGUCCUGGUUAGUGCUUGGAUGGGAGGCAGUUCUACAAUUUUGAUGACAUUUAUAGAUC